rnacentral:lncRNA from 1 species
UUUUCUUGUUUUCUUUCGCAGGUAUGGAGCGUGUGCUGGCACUAGGCGUGAGGGUGGCAUACGGCCUGUUGACGGGGAGGCACGAGUGGCGUUGGGGCUGCACGGUGGCUGAAGGCUGCGGCGCAAGGGAAAGAAACCCUAGGGUUUCUGUUUCUAAAGUCUUUUGGGCCAUUUGGGCCUUGUAACUUUGGGCUAUUUUGUAAAUGGGCUUGUAACUAGGCUAUUGGGUCUGAUAUGUAAAGGACUGGUAAUUGGACUUUAUAUUAUUUAGUUUUUUUGUAUUUAUAUUUUGUAUUUUGGUUCUUCUUCGGGCCCGGGCAAAAAUGGCCCAUUACAGCUACCCCUUUUUGCUCAUUGUCUUGUAACGAGAAUAGAGCAAAGACUUCAAAAAGAGCCAAUUUUGCAUGGUCUCGCAGAAUCAUGACUUCUUUGGUGUUUUUCUUCUCCGAGGUAGCUUUGUUUCGAUCCUCUGCAACUUCAGGGAUAUAGGAAUUGUUGCUCCAAUCUGUUUCGCUGUAACUCUAGAGAGACUAGCCUUAUAGCUUUUAAUCUGCUCUACCGCAACUGCUCCUCUGCAACCUCAGAGAGAUACAGUUUGUGUAUUUUUAUCUUGCUCUACUGCAACUUCAGAGAGAUAAGGACUGUAGCUUCAAUCUGCUCCACUGCAACUUCAGGGAGAUAAGAUCUGCUAACUUUAGUUUGCUCCACUGCAACUUUAGGGAGAUAAGACUCACAAUUUUUAGCCUGUUACCCUACUGUUUAGGGGGUUAAGGCUCACCGUCUUCGAUUUGCUCCACUACUGCUUAAGGAGACAAUAUCUAUAAUUUUCAGCCUAUUACCCUACUACUUAGGGGGUUAAGGCUCACUAUUUUCGAUUUGCUCCACUGUCAUUUUAGGGAGACAAGAUCUGCAAUCUUCAAUUUGUUACCCUACUACUUAGGGGGUUAAGGCUUGCUUCUUCGAUCUGUUCCACUGCAACUUCAGGGAGACAAGAUCUAUAAUCUUCGGCCUGUUACCCUACUACUAAGGAGGUUAAGGCUUGCUGUCCUUGAUCUGUUCCACUGCAACUUCAGGAAGACAAGAUCUGUGAAUUCACCAAUGUUGCUACUCCAUCUUCUAAGGACAUGAUUUGUAGAAUUGGUUUCCUGUAUCUAUGCUUAUGCCAAAUAAUUAGGAUGCCAUAAUCAAAAUGAGCCAAAUGCUCCUAACUAGAUGAAUGAUUAUGAAUGUAGAAAUGUCAUGAGAGUGAUUCCUUUUUAAAUGCUUAAGGUAGCAUUGCUCAUAGUUCAUCAGGGUUCUAUCAUUGAUGUGCUAUCGUGUCUUCUUGUUUAGCCGGUAUCUUUGACAGAAAAUUUGAAGAAAUAGUCACAAUUUGGACUAUUAUUUUCCAAUAUUUCCAACUUUUGAAUCUGGUUAGUCCUGACUAGUGGCCCUGUUUCAGGUCCUUGUACUAUUCAGAGACCUUCCAAAGUAAUAUGCAUAACUUCUUUUGUAUGAAUAUUAUAAGUCCAAAAAAAAUUAUGAUUUUAACAAAAAUGCUCGAAAGAGACUAUCAUAAUGGACAAGAUGGAAUUUUAUUGAGCAAAACUCAAAGUCAAUAGAUUAAACAGGAUAGCAAAUCUGCUAAAGUACAAUAUAAGAUAAGAAAAAGGUGCCCCAGAUAUCGCAGCACGAGCUUCACUAUUCUAACUUCUCAAAGGCCAUUUCGAGCUAAAUAUGUGUUUAGGAGAUCCCGCAUAUUUUGUUGAUGCUCCAAGACGUACUGUUCUUCCCUCUUGUUAAUUUGGGAGGACAAGAUUACCACAUACCCCAUAUUCAUAAUUUGAGCUGCCCAUUUUUGGGGUUUCAACUCAAAAACCCCUUUGGUUUCAAAGUGCCCUUUGCGGUUUUCACCUUGGCCUCUCUAUUUUUUUUUGGGUCUCAAAGUGCCUUUUGCGGGUUUUCACCUUGGCCUCUCCCUCCUUAGGUAAAAUAAUUUUUGACGGAAUCUGAAUUCACGGGAUUGGGCAAGUUUUUACCAUCCAUUUCAGCUAGAAUUAACACUCUUCCGGAGAAAGCUUUCUUCACCACGUAAGGCCCCUCUUAAUUUGGCAUCCAUUUUCCUCUAAAAUCCUUCUGUAUAGGAAGGAUCUUUUUCAAAACCAGAUCUCCCUCAUGAAACUCUCUUCGGUGAACCUUUUUUUCAUAAGCCCGCAUCAUUCGUUUUCGGUACAUCUGACCAUGACAGAUAGCUCUUAGCCUCUUUUCUUCAAUCAAGUUCAAUUGAUCGUAUCAAGACUGGAUCCACUCUACUUCAUCUAACUUUAGCUUCGACAACACUCAAAGGGAUGGAAUCUCGACUUUGAUUGGCAAAAUCACCCAGUUGAGGUUCUGAUUGAUGUUCGAUAAGCAAAGAGGGUAAAUGGUAACUUUUCAUGCCAACCUUUGUAGGCCUCAGUCAUGUUCCCCACGAUCUUCUUAAUAUUUUUGUUGGCUACUUCCACUGCCCCAUUAAUUUUCAGGCGGUACGGUGACGAGUUGUGGUGUCUGAUCUUAAAUUGACUGCAGACUUCCGCUAUCUUACUAUUGUUCAAAUUUAGCCCAUUGUCAGAUAUGAUCCUCUCCGGCAUUCCAUAUCUAUAUAUGAUCUCUUUUUUCUGGAAUUUGCUCACUGCUGACUUUGUAACAUUGGCAUAUGAAGCAGCUUCUACCCAUUUGGUGAAGUAGUCGAUAACCACAAAGAUGAACCGAUGCCCAUUGGAAGUUUUCGGCGAUAUUGGUCCAAUCACAUCCAUACCCCAUAUAGAGAAAGGCCAUGGGGAAGUCAUGACAUGCAGCGGCAAAUGAGGCACAUGAAUUUUGUCUCCAUAGAUUUGGCAUUUAUGACAUUUCUUGUCGUAAUUGACACAAUCUCCUUCCAUAGUGGACCAAUAAUACCGAAUUUCAUAAUUUUCCUGGCCAUCGUAAAGCCAUUAGCGUGUGUCCCACAGACGCCCUCAUGGACUUCUUCCAGGAUUUUCUUAGCCUCUACAAUGUCUAUGCAUCUUAAUAGCACUUGAUCCUUUUUUCUUUUGUAUAGGAUCUCCCCAUCUAAGACAUAGUCAAUGGCCAAUCUACUCAACGUCCUUUUAUCAUUCUCACUUGCCUAGUCCGGGUACUCACGAUUCCUCACGUAUUGCAAUAUAUCAUGAUACCAAAGGUGAUCAUCUUUUUCUUUGUCUUCUUCAAUAUUGUAACAGUAAGCUGAAGUUUCAUAAAUGCUCAUCCGGAUGGGUUUGACAUCUUCUUUUUUGUUCACCUUGAUCAUGGAAGCUAAGGUGGCCAAAGCAUCGGCCAUCUGAUUUUCGUCCCGUAGAAGGUAGCGAAAGGUAAUGCCAUCGAACUCUUUAACCAAUUCAAGGACCAGUUUCCGAUAAUUGAUCAACUUGGGAUCUCUGGUCUCCCAUUCUCCCUUGAGUUGAUAAAUCACUAACGCAGAAUCUCCAUACACCUCUAGCACUUUAAUCUUGCGUUCUAGGGCUGCACGGAUUCCCAUGAUGUACGCUUCGUAUUCUGCCAUGUUAUUCAUACAAUCCAAAUACAAUUUACUAGUAAAUGGAUAGUGAUCUCCAUUUGGAGAUACCAAAACUGCCCUGAUUCCAUUACCCGCAGCAUUUGACGCCCCAUCGAAGUUUAGUUUCCAAGGAAGUUCUUCCAAAGCACCUUCUUCAAUGGUCACAACACACAUCAGGUCUUCAGUCAAGAAAUUGAAGUUUAAGGGCUCGUAAUCUUCAAAAGCUCUACUGGCUAAAAAAUCUGCUAUUGCACUCCCUUUUACUGCUUUCUGGUUCACAUAGACUAUGUCAAAUUCGGAUAGCAGAAUUUGCCAUUGGGCCAUCCUUCCAUUCAAAGCUGUUGACUUCAUCAUGUACUUCAAAGUGUCCAGUUUUGAGAUGAGCCAAGUAGUGUGAUACAACAUAUACUGCCUCAACCUUCGGGUUGUCCAAACCAGGGAACAACAUAACUUUUCUAUCGACGGAUAUCUCGUCUCACAUUCAGUACUUUUUACUAAGAUAGUAAAUAGCUUUUUCUUUCCUUCCUAACUCAUCAUGCUAACCAAGUACGCAUCCCAUGGAAUUCUCAAAUACUGCCAACUACAGUAUCAAUGGCUUAUCGGAGUUAAGUGGCAUCAGCACUGGAGCGUUGGAUAAGUACCGUUUGACCUUGUCGAAAGCCCUUUGGCAUUCCUCAUCCCAUACACCUGGGUUGUGUUUCUUAAGGAGGUGGAAAACAGGGUCACAUUUCUCGGUUAGUUUUGAAAUGAACCAAGCGAUGUAAUUUAAUCUUCCUAGGAAGCCUCGAACCUCUUUCUGGGUAUGCGGCGGGGAUAGCUCUUGUAUGACUUUGACUUUGUCUGGAUCGAUCUCAAUCCCUUUCUCACUAACCACGAAUCCGAGAAGCUUUCUGGACUUGGCUCCGAAGGUACAUUUGGCUGGAUUGAGUUUUAGCUAAAACUUCCUCAACCUUAAGAACAACUUCCUCAGGACUUAUACGUGCUCCUUCUCUGUUCAGGACUUUGUAAUCAUAUCAUCAACAUAAACUUCGAUUUCUUUGUGCAUCAUGUCGUGAAAAAGGGUUACCAUGGCCCUUUAAUAUGUUGCCCCUGUAUUUUUCAGUCCAAACGGCAUCACCUUGUAGCAGAUUGUGCCCCAUAUGGUUACAAAUAUGGUCUUCUCCAUGUCUUCAGGGUGCAUCUUGAUCUGGUUAUAUUCGGAGAAACCGUCCAUAAAGGAAAACAAUGUGUGUCCUACCGUGUUGUCCACCAGAGUGUCAAUAUGAGGUAGUGGGAAAUUAUCUUUCGGGAUGGCUUUAUUCAAAUCUCUGUAGUCUACACACAUUUUUACUUUUCCAUCUUUCUUAGGGACGAGGACAAUAUUGGCUACCCAUUCUGAGUAUUUUACCACAUUUAAAAAUCCAGUGUCAAACUGCUUUCGAACCUCUUCUUUUAUUUUUAACAAGACAUCGGGCCUCAUUCUUCGGAGUUUUUGCUGAACUGGCUUACAUUCUUCCUUUAUAGGGAGUCGAUGCACCACAAUAUCAGUGUUCAACCCGGGCAUAUCUUGGUAUGACCAUGCGAGACAUCUUUGAAUUCUUGAAGUAAUUCGAUAAGGUUUCGCUUCAUCUCCAUGGUGAUACAAGUUCCGAUCUUCACCUCUUGUCCCUCUCCUAAUCUUACAAUUUCUACUAAUUUUUUGUGAGGAAGGAAUUAUUUCUCAUCUUGUUCUACCAUCCUCAACAAAUCAGGAGAUAGGUUACAGCUUUGGUCAUCUUCAAAAUCCUGAGAAUCUUCCAUACACAUAUCUUACUCAAAAGGAGACUCUAAACCACUAGCAGUGUCACUCAUAUCAUUGAUAUCUGGGAACCUGUUAUGAGGAUGAAAGAAGAUACAAAGAACCUAAAGAAUUUAAGAAUACUUAUCUGUAUGGUAUGAUUAUGAAUGAAGAACGAAAGAAUGUUUAGAAUAAUGUUCGAAGGAAAAAAGAAUCCAAAAUUAAUUAUUUGUAUAAUAUGAUUAUGAAUGAAAUGGAAAGAAUGAAAGAAUAUCUGCUCAAAAUGAUAAUAACUAUGCAUUUUAUUGAAAUAACGUUCUUGAACAUAAGCCUAUUUUACAAAAGAUUCUUAUUACUCCUAGGCCUAGAGCAAUAAGUGUGUUUUGGACAUUACUCUGAGUCAGCUCUAAAAACUACAGGAAUCUCUUCCAUAGUCCAGUUAUCUAGAACACUUCCAGGUAUGUGGGGGAAAAUGCCCGUCAAAUUUUCUCCUCCAACCCCUUCUUUGUAUGUGGCGUUGAUUUCCAAGCUUUCCAACUUUUCUUCUAUGGCUUCCUUUCUUGGCAUGCCUCUCUCGGGAUGAAUGCUUCCUCCGGACACAAAAUUUUUCGAUAUAUGGGGGAAUAUCAUUGGCUCCCAUUUGAUUCCCUCCCCCUUCAGCCGUGCUCUCCUUCUUUCUUGUUUCUUUUCCAAUUCCUUUUUCCUUUGUCUCGCAUCCGGCUUAAAUCCUAAGCCGAAGCGGUCUCUCUUGUCCUUCAGUACUAGCGUUUCAACCCUUCCUUGGAGAUGUCUCUCGAGUCCUCUUCCCGGUAGAGCUCCUUUUCCAACCAUCAACUGUAGACUCAUCCUUGUAGUUUUGGAUAAUUUCACUGUCAAAAUCCUGCUCCCCUCAGUAAUGAAUGUUGCAUUAACAAAUUCCAAAGAUCGAAAUGAGCAUUCGAUUGCUUUGUCGUCCGUCUCCAAAUAGGGUGCAUCACUGUUUACAGCUGCAAUGAUAUCCUUUUCAGCAUUUAUCGUUAUCAACCGCCCCCUGAUGCUAACUUCAACUUUUGAUGCAAUGAUGAGGCACUGCCCCAGCUGAAUGUAUCCAGGGCCUCCCCAAUAAGCAGUUGUAUGAAGGCUUGAUAUCCAUCAUGAGGAAAUCCACCUCAUAUGUGUUUGGCCUGAUCAGAAGAGGUAUCGCAAUUUUUCCUAUCACUCUUCUCUCCGUACCAUCGAAUGCCUUCACUAUAUUCUGGCACUCUUUCAUGUGAGAGCUGUCUACAGGUAAUCUAUUCAGUGUAGUCAAUGGUAGGACAUUCAAGGCCGACCCAUUGUCAAUUAGUGCUCCUGGUAGUGUAUAUCCCUUACAACGCGUGGUGAUAAGUAAAGCUUUAGUCGACCCCCUGCCACCAGGUGGUAUCUCAUCGUCAUUGAAGAAGAUAAAGUUAUCGGAACUUAUAUUGCUAACCAAGCGGUCUAGCUUGUUAACGGAGAUAUCAUUGGCAACAUAUGUUUCAUUCAAGACUUUCAUCAAAUAGCUGCAAUGGACUUCCGAACUUAGGAGUAAGGCCAGCACUGAGAUACAAGCUAGUUGUUUACAUAACUGUUCCACCACACUGUACUCGCUGUGCUUUAAAAAUUUUAAAAACUCUUUAGCCUCAUCUUCGUUGACCUGCUUAUUAACAAGGAGUUCAAAUUUGGCUGCUUUUUCCUUCUUCUGUUUGACCACUAUGGCUUUUCCUUUUGAGGGUUCUGCUUUCUCGUUUGCUGAAUCGUAGUGCCUUCCGCUACGCAUAGAGGAGCCCAUAUCUUGGUCCUCUUUUGAAACAUCAGCCAAGUUCUCUUUUCCCGGAAUCAUCACGUUAUAGUCAUAAUUCCAUGGGACCCUCUUGCUGUCUUUAUAGGGGAAGACUGCAGGUCUUUGGAUUAUGACUCUCGGUGGCAUUUUCACUCCUACUUCAUUAUUUUUGGGUCGCGAUAUGAUAACCACAGGGUAGUUAACUGUUUGGUUCUGCGCCGUCAAUUCUCCCUCCGAUGCACAUAUAUCUCCCUCUCCGGGGUUUUUGGUUUCUUCAUAAAACUUCAUUUCUCUAUUGUUCAUCAUAUCUUGCACGAGGGCCCUGAACUCCGUACACUCUUGAAUUUUAUGCCCCACCUCGUUUUGGAACUCGCAGUAGUUCCUCUCUUCUUCAGAUUCUUCUCUCGCAUCCAACAUGAUUAAUCCUCUCUUGACCAUCUCUUUCUAUACCCGUCUCAAUGGGGUCCUAACCUCUGCAAUCUCGUAUUUGAUCUCCUUGCUUCUGCCUUCACUUAUCUCAUUUACUCCUUGGUCGGUAUGAUUGGGGAGCGGGUUUCCUACUACAUUGAGUACGGCUGGGUCAUCAAACCUCACAAUCCCCAUUUUAAUGAAUCUUUCAACUAGCUUCUUGAAUGCGGUACAAUUUUCGAUCGAAUGCCCGGUGAUUCCUGCAUGGUAUUCGUAUUGGGCGUUUGUGUCAUACUAUUUGGGAAACAGGGGUUGCAGUGGCUUCAGGUAGAAAGGGGACACUACAUGAGCGUUGAAUAUGUUUUGGUAUAGCUCCUUAUACAUCAUGGGUAUAGGCGUGAACUGUGGCCUUUCUGUGUUUACCCUCGCGUUGGAUUCUUGUCUCACAGUGCUAUGUUGAUUGGCGGCCACUGUCUUUGGUUGGUUUAUAGUUAGUGACUUGAACUGACCCUUACUGAAUGUGCUCGUGUUGUUCGCUUCAUUAUCUUUUUUCCUCGGGGCCGAUCUUUUGGUACUUUCCCCGACUUCUAUUUUACCUCUCCUCACAGUGUUUUCAAUCAUUUCACCCAUCAUCACUAUGUCUGAGAAGCUUUUGGUGGAACUCCCUAACAUAUGAGUGAUAAAAGGGACCUUCAAAGUGUUGAUAAAGAGCAUCGUGGUUUCUUUUUCUAAAAGCGGCAGUUAAACUUGUAUGGCAACUUCUCUCCAUCUUUGCGCAUACUGUCUGAAACUUUCAUUUGGUUUCUUCUCCAUAUUUUAGAGAGUGAUCCUGUCAGGAGUCUUGUCUGUAACAUGACUAUAUUGUUUCUUAAAGGCUUGAGCUAGGUCUUUUCAUGAGCUAAUCUUAGCACGGCUCAAUUGGUUAUACCAUUUAGAUGCCACCCCAACCAGACUGUCCUGAAAACAGUGAAUUAAUAGCUGGUCAUUGUUGACGUAUCUCGUCAUUCGCCUGCAAAACAUAGUGAUAUGAGCUUCAGGACAGCUCGUUCCAUUGUACUUCUCAAAUUCAGGCAUUUUGAAUUUGGGGGGAAGGGCCAAGUCUGGGACAAAACUCAGGUCAUUAGCAUCCAUCCCUUGAUGACUAUCUGCGCUUUCCAUAGCUCUGAAUUUUUCCUCCAGCCAAUUACAACGUUCCUUUAAUUGCUUCUGUGAUUCCAUCCUUGUCUUUUCUUCUUCUGCAACUUCAUCCAAAUCGGGAACAAACGGAUCAUUCGGGUUAUUAACAGGGUUAGAGCUUGAGACAGUUUGGAAAUUCAUCGGUAUCAAAGUUCCAGCCUGAAUCUGCUGAGGCCUAAUCGUAACAGAUGGUCUCUGUAGAUUAAUUUCAAGUUGCAUCAGUACAUGUGUCGGAGUGAAGCCAAGAGGAUAUUGAGGGUUUUCAUUAUUUUACCCAACAUUAUCCGGGACCCUUUCCUUUAUCCACUCUUCCCAUCAGCAAUUGGGACAACUGACUCAUCAUCUCUCUUUGGGAUUCCAUCAUUUGCUCUUUCAUCUCUCGCUGAAUCUUGGCUAGCUAUUCUUGCAUCUGUGACUGCAUCUGUUCCUGCAUGUCCUUUUGCAUUUGCUCCAAUUUCUCAAGUAUUUUAUCCAUUGACUUUUUCCUUGUACCGUAGGGGUGCAUAGUUGGUUAGUUUUCAUUGGUUUCCAGAUUACUGAAAUGAUUUUUAUUUAAUUAGAAACUUUUUAUGACCUUUAAUGCAUAAUGAUGUGAUGUAAUGCAAAUGCAUGAAUGCAAAGGAUGCAUCAAUUUUGAUUCAAUUCCCUUUAGAAAACUUCACUAGAAAAUAAAAUUCUUUACAUAAAGCUAAGUUACAAAUACAACUUCAUUCUAAUGCUCAAAGUCUUAAUUUUCCUAAGCAACGAGGCUAGUUCCUGCCCUCGAUCUGACUCCAACUCGUACUUCACGCUCAGCAUGUCUGCUUGUACCGCUAAAGCUUACAAGUAAUCAGCUACCUCCCAAAUCUCGGUUAUAACUUCCCCCAUAAUGUAAUCCCUGUUUCUGACUUGGUCUUGUGCAUGAUGAAGUUGAUCCUUCCAACGCUCCUCACUUGCCUCGAAAAACUAAAUCCUCAUCUCAUGGUUUUGUAGUGACGCUUUUAAUUCUUCUACUUUUCCCUUUAUUUCUUCCACCUUACUCAAGCUUGCCCUCAACUCCAUUAUGGUAUUACGGCUUCGGUAUUGAUGAAGAGACUUUUCGAGUUCUGCCACUCUAGCCCUUAAUUCACCUCGUUCAUUUCUAUUUUCUGACAGAAUCUUCUCUAAAUCCUCAUUUCGUGCCUGAGCCUCUCGGAAUUUCCUUUCUCAUCGGUCGAAUUUGGUCUUUUCCUCUCGAAUUUCAUGGCGCCAUUGUUCGGAAGUUUUUCCUAACCUCGCAGUCCUCAUAGACAGGUGUAACUUCUUAUAAUCUGUCUUCAAACUGUCUAGUUCUUCUUCGGCCUUACUUUUCCUUUUCUCCACUUCUCAGCCUCUGACCUCUGAACAUCAACGUCUAAUUUCAGAUGCAUCAUUUCUUCCUCCAAUUGUUCAAUCUUUUUCCCAAACUCAGAACUAUUCUUAUCGAAGUCUUGCUUUAUAAUUUCCAACUCUGACAAGGCGAUUUGUAAUUGUUCCACCAUAGGUCGAGCAUCUUCCAAGCUUGGCCUAGGAACAUUAUCAUUGACCCUCUUCCUAAACCAUCCGUUGCAUUCGGGUGUCACCAUAGCACCGAUAGCCAACCUUUUCAUCCAACGAGUUUGCUUCCAAGUGUCUGAAAGUUCCUGAACCUUCUUCUUAUAAUGGUCACCUUUAAAGGAGAAUUCACACUAAGUAAGCCCAUAAGUCGCGGGUACAAACUACCUCGAUUUAUAUUGCCUUAAUGCAAGCAAUGAAGUAUACCCAGUAGCUCCCCAGAUUCCUGACAACGGCACCCAGUCAAAGUUCCCACAUCGAUAUAGGAUCUCAUUGGGGACCAUCCAAAAUGCUCUCCACUCUAUAUCCCCCUCCUUGAGGUUUUGAAGAAUUUCCAUCCACUUCUCCUUCGAGAUAUCCUCUCUCCUUUGUAUGGCUGCCUCCUCUUUUAACGGGGAAUAACCUUCAGAAAAGACCCGAUAAGAAACCUUGUCCACCUUCCAAAAGUUCCCAUAAAACCACAUCAUCAACAGCUAUGCACACCCGAUAAACUGCCCCUCGCCUGUCUUCUGGCACAUGCUCAAGGAUCUGAACGUCUUAGCCAAUAUUGCAGGUACAGGUGUGAUUCCCUUCUCGAGACGAUCGAAUAAGUCAGUGACCGCCUCAUCCACGUACCUUAAAGCCUUAGGAAAAAUUACCAAUCCAUAGAUGCUUAAAGUGAAGAUAUCGACCCUCUUUCUUUCAUCCAGAUGUGUUAAAACCAACUCUCUCAAAUUCUCCCAAGGGAUACAUUUACUAUCUCCCUUUUGUUGAAUCCGAGCAGUGACCCAAGGCUUGCUCAUCCCUGAAAUGGUCAUCAAUUUCUUCGCGAAAGUCUGACCAUUAAAGACCUUGGCAUAAGCUCUUCUAACUUGAACUUUUGGACACCUAAGCAGAGUAGUAUAUUCCUCCACGGUAGGUACUAAAUCCACUUUCCCAAAAGUGAAACACUUGUAAGCAGAAUUCCAAAAUUGCACCAUAACUCGGAACAGAUGCUUGUCUACCCUAAUAUCUAGCAAGUAGGAUAUAUCACCAUAGCUUUGAUAGAACAACUGUUUGGUCCCUUCAUCCCAAUGAGCCCAUAUAUCUCUCGACUCUUGUAACUCAUUCUGUGCUACAUUGACGCGAGUGAAUUCCUGUAACUCUGAUGUAUAUCCUUCUGCCAAGCUAUCCCCUUUCUCCAAUUGUAACUUCUCUGACCAUGCGCGGACGGCUGCAUUAUCCUCAACUUUAUUAAGAAAUUUAUUCUCCAUGUCAAACUUUCUAACUUAGUAAUCGAAUACGAAUCAACACCUCCUUUAGUAUGCAAUGUCAUGCAAAACACAAUCAAAACAAAACACAAGUUAGUGUCAAAUAAUAGUGAUAAAAUACAAGCACAGAAAAUAUAAUUAUAACACAUGUAUGGGCAAACACUAAUGCUUGAUGCAGCUCCACCCAAGGAUAGCUCUUAAGGUUCGCUAUAUGUGGUUCGGUUCUAGAGAUAAGGUACCUGAACUAGCAGAUUCCUCAAUCCUCACCCAUUAUAGGCUCAUAUGGAUCGAGUUCGAUUCAGGGGGAUGCAUUUCCCUAUGACCAUGCGGAGAUGAAAAUCUCACGAAAUCAUAGGUACGGAUGUACCCCGAAAGCAAUCCACUAGCCCAUGCGGAGGUGAAAACCUCACGAAAGCAUAGUUUCUUACACCCACUUAGAAGGUGUGACCACAACGGUCAUACAAUGAAAUGCAGUAUUAUUCUAAAAGCCCGAACCAUAAUAAUCAUACAAACAAAUGCAAUCAGGAUAAAACAUAUUUUCGAUACUUCGACAAAAAGACAACAAAUAAUCAAUUUUAUGGCUAGACUCUCUUACGUCCCCAGUGGAGUCACCAAGCUGUCGAAACCACCUUUUAAGGUUUUGAAAAAACGGGGAUCGACUUUAAAAAAAUGAAAAUAGAGCCGCCACCAAUCUUUUUUGUUUUGGUGUGAUUGGAUCACCUAAUAAAACAUGUUGUUUUAUUAAAAUCAAUUUUGGCCUACAUAAAUAUAAGAAAAUGGGUUCGGGAGUCGAUUAUGUAUGAGGAAGAAUUAGCACCCUCAUUACGCCCAAAACUGGUACAAAAUUGAUUAAAUACUGUCCUUAUGUCUGAGAUUUAAAAAUGUUUUUGAAAUGUGGUUCCUUUUAUAAACAUUUGAAUAGCCCAAGUUGGUCAUCAAAAUUCUCUUGUUUCAGAGGAAUACAGCAUCACAUCCAGCAUGAUAGGACACGAUCCUUUAUACCCUCGAAAACACGAUAAAUUUUGACUCCCAAAAGUUUAUAUGUUGAAAAUUACAAAAGGAUGCCAAUUAUUUAGUCCAACGAAAAAAUCGAAACCCAGCACAGUAAGGCACGAUUCCUCGAAUUUCUAGACAUUGAACAUUGCCUUAUUUUAGAAUUUAGAGAACAUGAGUGAAAUUCUAAAGGGAUAUUCGAUUAUUUUAAACAAACGGGAAAUUGCAACCCAGCACGAUAGGGCACGAUUCCCCAAAUUUCCAAACAUCGAACAUUACCUUCGUUUUAAAAAAUUUUGAAAGACAUGAGUGAAAUUCUAAAGGAAUAUUCGAUUAUUUUGAACAAACGGAAAAUUGCAACCCAGCACGAUAGGGCAAAUUCCCCGAAUUGCCAAACAUCGAACAUUGCCUUCGUUUUAAAAAAUUUUUGAAUGAGUAAUUAUAAAACUAGCUUAAAACGCAUUAAUUCGACUUCAAAUAAAACGGAAUACUUAGUUUUUGAAAAAAGGGUUGAAAAUUAUAAAGCAAUAUUUCGUAAACCAAAAGAAAAAAUAAAAGCAUGGGAUAAUAUAUAUAUGUAUAAAAUACAACGAUGAAUGAACGAAGGUAAUAUAUAUUUUAAUCGGCUAUCAAAAUGAACACGUUAAGUAUAACUAACCUAAAAAAUAAUCCAAUUACAAUAAUGCAUGGAGAAUAAUUGAUAUGAUAAUAUAAAAACAAAAAUAAUAUGUGUAAUAGCCCAUUUUUGCCCGGCCCAUUUCAGUAUUUAAAAUUAUAAACCCCCAAAAAAUAAAAAUAAAACAAAGUCCAAGUCCAGUACAAAAUUACAAACAUAUAAUUUGGCCCAAUCGAAAUGGCCCAUUACUUGAAAAGAUUUAAGGUCCAUCUAUAAGCUUGACUCAUAUGGAAAUAUAAUCCUUAAGGAUAUACAAUCUUAGAUAUGAUAUGCAAUCUUAGAUAUGAUACAAUCUUACAUAUGAUAUGCAAUCCUAGAUAUGAUAUGCAAUCUUGAAGAUAUGAUCUUGUAAUCCUAGAGAUUUAAUUUGUAGAUAUCCUUUAAUCUUAACCGUUGAUGUAAUUGAUCUGUACCGUUGGAUUUGGGGAGGCUCAACUAUAAAUAGAGGCCUCUCCCUUCAUUGUAAAUCACUUGGGUUUUGGGAAGCAAUAAGAAUUCUUGAAAGCAUUCACUCAAAUUUCUCUCCCUCUUGCGUUCUUACUUUCUGUGGUUUGUUCUUAUUUUAUUCUUCGUCUAUCUUAGUUUUUCAACCUUUUUUUAUUUUAAUUUCUUCAUUUUACAAAUAUGUAUAUUUAUUCCUAUCUUUUAUACAUUUGAUUAUGCAUUUUAUAUAUUAUAAUAUUUAACCUUUUUAUAUAGUUUAUUUUCAAAUAUAUAUUUUCUAUGCAUAUAUAUAUUAUAUUAUCAUUUCAUGUAUUUUGAACUAUUGCAUUAUAUUUUUAUAAUUUGUAAAUGUUCUAUUUAUUCAAUUUUUUUGUAUAUGUCAUUUAUCUUAUUUGUGCAUAGUUUCAUUUUUUUAUAUGCUAUGUUUAAUUAUUUCUUUUAUGUGCUAUUUUAUGAUAUAUAUUGUUGUAUAAUUUUUGCAUGUAUUAUGUUUUUAUUUUAGUUUACUCAUGUUUUUAUUUGUUUAUUAUCUUAUAUUUACCCUAGUAUGAUUUUUUUCAUUAAACGUAUGUUCAUGUUAUUUAGUUUUGUCAUAAUGAUAUUAUUUAUGUUUGUAUGGAAAUGUUAGAAUAUUUUGUACAUCUAUGCUUCAUGAUGCAUUAAUAUGUCAUCCUAAAACGUCAUUUAAAAAUAAUAUUCCAAGGUUUUUUUUAAAAAAAAUUAAAAGGCAAUGCUUGAUGUUUGGAAACUUCGAGAAAGGUAGUGCCCUAACUUACUGGGUUGCGACUUUUCUCGUUGAAUUCGAAUAGUCAAGCACCCUUCUAAGUGAUUUUGUGCUUUCAAAACUUAAACAAUUAUUUCGAGAUUUCAAAACAUAGUGUCCUAACUUACUGGAUAUGGCGUUUUGUUGUUUCGAGAUAGAAAUUUUCGAAAGAAGAGCUUAGUUUCAAAGGUUUUAAAAUGAUGCGUCCUAACUUACUGGAUGUGAUGUUUUGACUCGUUUGAAAUAAGUGAGCCUUAAUUUUCAAAAUUGAGACAUUCUAAUUAAAAGAGGUUUGCAUCUUAAAACUUUCAAAGUUCUGACAUUAAAGACACUUGAUAAUCAAUUAGGUACCAAUUUUUGGGCGUUACGAGGGUGCUAACCCUUCCUCGUACGUAAUCGACUCCCGAAUCUAUUUUCUCGACUUUCGUAGACCAAAAUUAAUGUUUUAAAGCAAAACAUUUUAUAAGGUGAUCCAAUCACACCUAAAAAGAUAGGUGGUGACUCCCGUUUUCAUUUUUCUUAAAGUCGAUUCCCAUUUUCCAAAACUCGAUUUAAAAAUGGUUUCGACAGCUUGGCGACUCCGCUGGGGACUAAUAAGAGAGUCAAGCCGUGUAAUUAAUUAUCUCUUGUCUUAAUGUCGAAAAUUAAAAAUUUUAAAAUUUAAUCCUCUUUGCAUUACAUGUGUUUGUAUUAUUACAUGUGUUACUAUAUUCUGAUACGCAUUGUAUUUGCAUAACCGUUGUGGUCACACCUUUAAGUGGGAGUGAGAAGCUACGCCUUCGUGAGGUUUUCGCCUCCAUGCAGGAUAGUGGAUCACUUUCGGGAUACAUCCGUACCUAUGAUUUCGUGAGAUUUUCAUCUCUGUGUAGCCAUAGAGAAAUGUAUUCCCCUGAACUGAACUCGAUUCAAAUGAGCCUAUAAUGGGUGAGGAUCGAGGAAUCUGCUGGUUCGGGUACCUCAAACUUUAAAAACAAACUACAUAUAGAAAAACUGUAAGAGCUCAAUAUAGAUAGAAUUAUACUAAGGUUAUCUUUGUGUUUAUUAAUAUCAUAUGAUACUGACUAUUUUCUUUCUUUUGUACAUGUCAUUUUGCAUUUAAAAGGUAUCGAUUCACGGUCAGUUUCUAAGUUAGAAAGUUUUAUUAUGGAGAAUGGACUUCUUGAUAAAAUGGAGGGCAACACUAAUGUCCAUAAAUGGUCAAAGGAAACGCUGAAGGAUACACAUCAGAAUUAUAGGGUUACACUCGCAUCAGCGUAGCGCAAAAUAAUCUCCAGAAGUUAAAGGAAAUAUGGGAUCAAUGGAGUAAUGAAGCCAAGCAGUUGUUCUACAAUAACUAAGGGGACUUGCGGUAUUUGCUUGACAGGAGGAUAGAUGAGCAAUUCAAAGUGAGUGUGGGAGUAUUGAUGGACACUUCUACCAUUAUAGCAUUUCUCUUUCAUAUGAAGACGGUUGCCAUGUCGAUGGUAAGGGUAUUGGAAGGAAAGUAAUUGAUAGAGUGCAUGAGACCUACAAAAAUGAGUUGGAUGGAAAGAAUUUUGCCUAUGAUGGUAAAAAGCUCGUUUACUAUAGGACCGCUACCAAACAACAAGCUUGAGUUUACUAUUGUACUUAUCAGAAACAAUGGAAAUGCAAGGCCCGAUGGCCUGGAUAGCUCAAGUAAGCGUGAAAGAAAAUGAUUAAAGAAGACCGUAUCAUACAAAGACCUUUUGAGAUUAGCUAUGCUGCGAAGGUGCCGAGGCAGGAUGCUCUGCGUGGGUAGAAAUCUGAAAUCUCUCAAGAAACAUUGAGGAUAUAGGAUAUUAUUUUAAGGUAGCACACUGCAAAACAGGAUACCUACCUGUUCGCUAAUCUAUCUCAAAAUAAUCAGAACAACUUCACAGGUAUUGGAGGAGGUGCCCUUAGCUGCACGGAUUACCCCACAGGUGAGGUCGUAGCUCAAACUCAGGAGGCAACUGAUUAUUUAUAGACAUUGGCGGAACAGGCUGACAUAUUGAGCACCAAUAUGAGCUACAAUCUGAUCGUGGCCAAGAGUUUGUUCUGUUGUUAAAACUUUAGGCAUUAGGGCGAAAGUGUAUUUGUAAUCCAUUUAUAUGUAAAGAUAUUUUUUUUCUAAAUAAAGUUUUAUAAAUGAGAUUGAAUUGAGAUCGAUACCUUUUGCAUUCAUUUGCAUCUUAUAGCAUUUCAUUGCACCAUUUGCAUUCAAAAUUAUAAAAAGACCCUAAUUAGUUAAAGUUAUUAAAAAGAGAAAGAAAAAGAGGGAGAGAGAGAAGAGGGUCACGGCUGAGUGAAAAAGAAGUUGAAUGGGAAUUAACGACGUUCCCUUACAUAUCCCCAACUUUUGUGUUAAGAGGGAUAGCUUACCCGGAUAAGGGGGUUUGGAAAUGAAAAUCAUCCCAUCAAUGUCAUACAUGAGGAAGGGACUGAACAAAGAAACCUUGAGGGCAUUCGCCCUUACGAACCGGAAAGUUCUUUAAACAAUUAGACUGCAGAAGAACUUCCUGUAAUCUUUAGGAAUUUUACGGAGUAAUACUCAGAACACUCUUGUUGCUCUAAAGUCUAGGAGUAAUGAGAUUUUUUUUGAGAAGUGGGCUCAUGUUCAGACAUUUUUAUUUUCAAUAAAACAUACUUUUAUUAUUUAUCCGAGUAAAUAUUCUUUCAUUUGAUUCUUUUGACCUUUGACAUUCUUUAUAAAUUUUCAUUUCGUGUAAAUAGUCAUUCUUGAAUUCAUUUAUUCCUUGUAUAUUCUUUUGUGUGCCUACCAUAGAUCCCUAGAUAUCAAUGACACAAGCAACGAUAAUACAGAUUCAGAGUUCCUUUUGAGUGCGAUAUGUGUUUAGAAGAAUCUCAGUACUUUGAAGGUGACAGAAAUUGUGAAUUGUUUCUGAAUUUGUUGAAAAUGGUUUUUACCCCAUGAAGUGGUGGUAGGAAAUAUAGCCUUAGAGGAAGGAAAGAUUGCGAAAUUGGAAUUAGCUAAGGAGACAAAACAAGACCUUGUUGAGACUAUUAUGGGAAUUCAAAAAUAUGGUCCAAAGACCCAUGCAGGAGGAUUUGCAAUUGCCAGGAUAAACAUGAGGUUUUGGGCACUAUUGGUCCACCGUGGAAAGGGAUCGCAUCAGUUGUACAAUGAAUGCCAAAUUUAAAGGAGUCAAGACUUAUGGGGCAUGUAUGUUAUGGGCCCGAGCUCGUCAAAAGUUUUAAGCUGACAAUGACUCAUCUUUGUGGACGUCAACUACUACAUUAAGAGGGGGAGAUAGCUUCAUAUGCCAAUAUUACAAAGUCAAAAGUCAUCCAUUUCAAAAAAAAUAUUAUAUAUAAUUGCACAAUGCCAAAAGUUUGUAGUCUUUUCAAAGAUAAUGCGUCAUACCACAGUACAACAAAGGUUGCCAAAAGAAAAGAAAAAGAAGAAAAAACAAAUUACAGAAGAUGACCGAGACUGGUAAAAAUUGGCAUAAGAAACUACCGCCCACUCUCUAUGCUUACGCUGGGGCAAACACCUUCAAUUCUAGUUGUUUCAAAGGUUCCAACCAUCAUCCUUGGAAUAGGUGCAUUGUUUGGCUUUCCUAAGCAGUCUGAUGUACCGUCAACAGCUGCGAUGGUUAGCUCCAGGCAGUGGCCAUUGAUUUCCAGCUAUGGGGCAUCAGGCCGUACACAGUCCUUGAAGCUUAAAAUGAUAGAUUCUUUCUUCAAAACCAGUUUUUGACAAAGUGGAUGACGGUAUCAUGAAGGAAGCUCUCUUAGACUUCUAUACAAGUUCAGGGAAGAGGAAACCUGAUCAAAUCAUUAUUUUCAGGGAUGGAGUUAGCGAGUCUCAAUUCAAUUAAGUUUUGAACAAGUUAUUGAGGCUUGCAAGUUCCUUGACGAGAAGUGGAACCCUAAAGAUUGUGGUUAUUGUUGUACGAAAAACCAUCAUACCAAGUUUUUUCAGCAGGGAUCUCUUAACAAUGUGCUACAUGGUACUAUCAUUGACAACAAAGUAUGCCAUCCAAAGAACAAUAAUUUUUACCUUCGUUCCCAUGCUGGAAUGAUUGGAAUCAUGAGGCAGACCCACUAUCAUGUUCUCUUAAACCAGGCUGGGUUUUCGGCUGAUGAUUUGCAAGAGUCUAUUCAUUCUUUAUCCUAUAUGUAUCAAAGGAGCACCACAGCCAUAUUUGUUGUGGCUCCUAUUUGCUACGCUCAUUUGGCAGCCUCAUAGUUAGGGGCAAUUUACGAAGAUUAGGGAUGCUUCAGAAACAUCAUCGAGUCAUGGUGGGAUGUAUGCUCCGGGAGUAAUCUCUGUACCUCAGCUUUCCAGGUUGAAGGAUAAAGUCAGCAACUUCAUUCUUAUCAGCUGAGAAUCGUUGAACCAUCUUUUUAUAGGGUUUAUUAAACGACAGCCAGGAUUGCUGCUGGGGCAAUCUCUUUCUCAUGAGUUUAUGAUUCAAUGGAGUAAAAAAUUACCUCCAGUGAACUUAACUUGAAAGUAUUUAUCCUAAUCAAAUGUACCAAGAAUGGAUGACACAGAUAAAGAGUGUUCGUUCACAAGAACUUCUCAAGGAAGCCAAAGUGAAAACCCGCAAAGGGCACUUUGGGACUUCUAUUUCAAAAAAAAGGAAAAAGAAAAAGAAAAAAUAAAAUAAAAAAUAAAAAAUGGAGAGGCCAAGGUGAAAACCUGCAAAGGGCGCCUUGUGACCAAAGGGGUUUUGAGUUAAAAACCCGAAAGGGCAGCUCAAAUUUUGAAGAGCACACGGUAAUCUUGCUAUAUCUGAUUCAACGAAGAGUGAAGCGCGUUGCAUAUCGGGGCAUCAAAAAAGUACUUUGGAUCUUUUAAACACAUGUUGAAUUCAAGAAAGUCUUCAUGGAGCUGGCAUAUAAACGCUCAAUCGGUGAUAUCUAGGGCAUCUAACUUUUGUCUUGUUUGCUAUCUUUAGAUUCUUUUUCUUCUCAAAGAUAGGCCUUCAGAUUAAUUUCCUUUUUAUUUUUGACAAAUUUAUUCAAAUCUAAUUAUUCUCAAGAUUAAAUUCAUCUUCCAUUAUUCUUAAAGUAUGUUGCAUUAAAAUAAUGAUAGAUGAACUAAAUAUCUUUACAAAUGAAGUUUUGCAUAUUACUCUGGAAAUUUCUAAAUAAUACAAGAAACUGAAACAGGACAAUUGUUUAAGGAAUUCCCAUAUGUGAGGGUCGGAUGUACUCGGGGAAACUAAAAUUUCUUUCAGUCUAAAUGAUGAUUGAACAAAUCAAACGAUUCGAUCCUAAGAGAGGAUCAUUUUACAAACAUUUUCAGCAGGUCAUAGCAUUUGAAGAAUGGUACAAACCCACAAGCUGAGUAGGAAUGAGACUUCGAGAGAAGUAAGGAAAACUUCGAUGAGGGAAUAAGUGAUGACGUCUGAAAUAGGGGUCAUAUUCAUAACAUUUUGCAUUAUAACAUGUCUAAUUAGGAGAAUUUGACUCACUUCAAUCAUAGCAUCCUAAUUAUUAGGCAUGAACUCAUACGCAUUCUACAGGUUAUGUCUUUUAUGGGACAAUGUAGAUCAGAGAAACAAGAUUUGGCAUCCCUAUGUUUAUAGGGAACAGAUUGAAGAUAGCAGAUCUGACACUCCUAUGCUUACAGCGAAACAGAUCGAAGAUUUCAGCAUGGCAUCCCUGUGUUUAUAGGGAACAAGUUGAAGAUAGCAGAUUUGGCAUCCCUGUGUUUAUAGGGAACAGAUCAAAGAUAGCAGAUCUAACACUCCUGUGCUUACAGCGAAGCAGAUCGAAGAUUUCAGGAUGGCAUCCCUGUGUUUAUAGGGAACAAGUUGAAGAUAGCAGAAUUGGCAUCCCUGUGUUUAUAGGGAACAGAUCGAAGAUAGCAGAUCUGACACUCCUAUGCUUACAACGAAGUAGAUCGAAGAUUUCAGCAUGGCAUCCCUGUGUUUAUAGGGAACAAGUUGAAGAUAGCAGAUUUGGCAUCCCUAUAUUUAUAGGGAACAGAUCGAAGAUAGCAGAUCUGACACUCCUGUGCUUACAGCGAAGCAGAUCGAAGAUUUCAGCAUGGCAUCCCUGUGUUUAUAGGGAACAAGUUGAAGAUAGCAGAUUUGGCAUCCCUGUGUUUAUAGGGAACAAAUCGAAGAUAGCAGAUCUGACACUCCUGUGCUUACAGUGAAGCAGAUCGAAGAUUUCAGCAUAGCAUCCCUGUGUUUAUAGGGAACAAGUUGAAGAUAGCAGAUUUGACAUCCUUGUGUUUAUAGGAACAGAUCGAAGAUAGCAGAUCUGACACUCCUGUGCUUACAGCGAAGCAGAUUGAAGAUUUCAGCAUGGCAUCCCUGUGUUUAUAGGGAACAAGUUGAAGAUAACAGAUUUGGCAUCCCUGUGUUUAUAGGGAACAGAUUGAAGAUAGCAGAUCUGACACUCCUGUGCUUACAGCGAAGCAGAUCGAAGAUUUCAGCAUGGCAUCCCUGUGUUUAUAGGGAACAAGUUGAAGAUAAUAGAUUGGCAUCCCUGUGUUUAUAGGGAACAGAUCGAAGAUAGCAAAUCUGACACUCCUGUGCUUACAGCGAAGCAGAUCGAAGAUUUCAGCAUGGCAUCCCUGUGUUUAUAGGGAACAAGUUGAAGAUAGCAGAUUUGGCAUCCCUGUGUUUAUAGGGAACAGAUCGAAGAUAGCAGAUCUAACACUCCUGUGCUUACAGGGAAGCAGAUCGAAGAUUUCAGCAUGGCAUCCCUCUGUUUAUAGGGAACAAGUUGAAGAUAGCAGAAUUGGCAUCCUUGUGUUUAUAGGGAACCGAUCGAAGAUAGCAGAUCUGGCAUCUCCAUUUCGACGGAGAGCAGAUACAUAGCAGAUCUAACCUUUAAUGAUUUUAUUGAAGCAGAUCCAAGAUGAUUUGACAUCCUUGUGUUUACAAGGAGCAAAUUGAAGACACAGUAGAUUUGGCUUUCACGUGUUUACGCUGAAGCAGAUCUAAGAUGAUUUGGCAUCUUUGUAUUGCCAGAAAACAAAUCGAAGAAGUAGAUUUGGCGUCUCUGUGUUCGACGGAGAGCAGAUCGAAGAUAUCAACAUGACAAUCCUGAGUUUACAAGGAGCAGAUUGAGGACCAUAAAGUCUGAAGCUGAUGAGACCGGGAAAAAUGGGUCCUUUUAUAGUCUUUACUCUAUUCUCGUUACACGACAAUAAGCAAAGAGGGGCAGCUGCAAUAGCCCAUUUUUGCCUGGCCCAUUUCAGUAUUUAAAAUAAUAAACCCCCAAAAAAUAAAAAUAAAACAAAGUCCAAGUCCAGUACAAAAUUACAAACAUAUAAUUUGGCCCAAUCGAAAUGGCCCAUUACUUGAAAAGAUUUAAGGUCCAUCUAUAAGCUUAACUCAUAUGGAAUUAAGGAUAUACAAUCUUAGAUAUGAUAUGCAAUCAUAGAUAUGAUACAAUCUUAGAUAUGAUAUGCAAUCUUGAAGAUAUGAUCUUGUAAUCUUGGAGAUUUAAUUUGUAGAUAUCCUUUAAUCUUAACUGUUGAUGUAAUUGAUCUGUACCGUUGGAUUUGGGGAGGCUCAACUAUAAAUAGAGGCCUCUCCCUUCAUUGUAAAUCAAUUGGGUUUUGGGAAGCAAUAAGAAUUCUUGAAAGCAUUCACUCAAAUUUCUCUCCCUCUUGCGUUCUUACUCUCUGUGGUUUGUUCUUAUUUUAUUCUUCGUCUAUCUUAGUUUUUCAACCUUUUUUUAUUUUAAUUUCUUCAUUUUACAAAUAUGUAUAUUUAUUCCUAUCUUUUGUACAUUUGAUUAUGCAUUUUAUAUAUUAUAAUAUUUAACCUUUUUAUAUAGUUUAUUUUCAAAUAUAUAUUUUCUAUGCAUAUAUAUAUUAUAUUAUCAUUUCAUGUAUUUUGAACUAUUGCAUUAUAUUUUUAUAAUUUGUAAAUGUUCUAUUUAUUCAAUUUUUUUGUAUAUGUCAUUUAUCUUAUUUGUGCAUAGUUUCAUUUUUUUUUAUAUGCUAUGUUUAAUUAUUUCUUUUAUGUGCUAUUUUAUGAUAUAUAUUGUUGUAUAAUUUUUGCAUGUAUUAUGUUUUUAUUUUAGUUUACUCAUGUUUUUAUUUGUUUAUUAUCUUAUAUUUACCCUAGUAUGAUUUUUUUCAUUAAACGUAUGUUCAUGUUAUUUAGUUUUGUCAUAAUGAUAUUAUUUAUGUUUGUAUGGAAAUGUUAGACUAUUUUGUACAUCUAUGCUUCAUGAUGCAUUAAUAUGUCAUCCUAAAACGUCAUUUAAAAAUAAUAUUCUAAGUUUUUUUUAAAAAAAAAUUAAAAGGCAAUGCUUGAUGUUUGGAAACUUCGAGAAAGGUAGUGCCCUAACUUACUGGGUUGCGACUUUUCUCGUUGAAUUCGAAUAGUCAAGCACCCUUCUAAGUGAUUUUGAGUUUUCAAAACUUAAACAAUUAUUUCGAGAUUUCAAAACAUAGUGUUCUAACUUACUGGAUAUGGCGUUUGUUGUUUCGAGAUAGAAAUUUUCGAAAGAGGAGCUUAGUUUCGAAGGUUUUAAAAUGUUGCGUCCUAACUUACUGGAUGUGAUGUUUUGACUCGUUUGAAAUAAGUGAGCCUUAAUUUUCAAAAUUGAGACAUUCUAAUUAAAAGAGGUUUGCAUCUUAAAACUUUCAAAUUUUCGGCAUUAAAGACACUUGAUAAUCAAUUAGGUACCAAUUUUUGGGCGUUACGAGGGUGCUAACCCUUCCUCGUACGUAACCGACUCCCGAAUCAGUUUUCUCGACUUUCGUAGACCAAAAUUAAUGUUUUAAAACAAAACAUUUUAUAAGGUGAUCCAAUCACACCUAAGAAGAUUGGUGGCGACUCCCAUUUUCAUUUUUCUUAAAGUCGAUUCCCAUUUUCCAAAACUCGAUUUAAAAAUGGUUUCGACAAUAUGCCACAAUAACAUACAUAGCCUAAUACAUUACAAUCAAUACAAAAUAUCCAAAACAAAAUAAUAAUUAAAAAAGGCUAUGGUAUAAGACAAAUUUAAAAUAAUGAUGAACGUGAUAUAUGCAUUGACGAAUCGAUCAAUUAGAAACCAUUUGUAAAGACAAACUAAAUAUUUGCAUGCAAUUAUUAGAAAACGUAUUAAAGAAUGAAUAUUUUUAAAAUCAAGAAAUAUACAAAAGGGAAAAAAAUGUUUAUUGAAAUAUAUACAAGAAAAUUUAAAUAAUGUAUAGGAUAUUCAAGAAUAACAAAAAUACAUUGUAAAAUAUAAUUUUAAGAAAUGCAUGCAAUAGGUUUAUAAAAACAUAUAUAUAUGUAUAAAUAGAUUUAGAAAUAGUUAUUUGCAAAAAGAACAUGCACUUAAUCAUGCAUUCAAGAUUAAAUUAACUUCAUUGUAAACUAUACAUAAUAGACUUAAAAACAUACUUUUAUAUAUAAAGAAAACUAUAGGUAUAAAGUACAUGGAUUUAGUAAUGUAUAUAGAUUAAACAUAGACAUCAAUAAAUAUAUAUACUUAUAAUAAUAAUUUAAAAGAUAUAUCAUGUAGGAUUAUGUAAUAUAAUAUAAGAAUAAAUUUAAAAGAAAUUAUAUUUAUAAAAUAAUAUAAGAUUAAUAAUAUGCAUGAAUUGAAAUUAACUUUAUUAUAAAGUAUAUAUAUAUGUAUAAUAAUGUAUAUAAAAAACAUUACAAUAGUGAUUUUAAAAAAAACAAAAGAGAGUCAUUAAAAUAACUUAGAAUGUAAAAAAAAAAGUAAACAAGGAUAAAAAUGUUGAAUGUAUCUUUAAAAAAAUGAUAAUGAACCAUAAAAUAAAUAAAAUAAAAAAGGGGAAACUCAAUUAAAAUAAAAUUGAAAUGGAAAGGACAAAUUAUAAAUGAAAUGAACUGUUAAAAUAAAAGGAGACCAGCGUGCAACAUGUGCGAAUGCGCAGAGACCAAAUCUAGAAAUAAUCCAUACCCCAAAACGCAGCGCUGAAGCAUGGACCAAAGUGCAAACACGCGCAAAUUACAGGGAGAAUUUAAGAAAACAAAGAAAUCAGGAUUAGGCCUAAUCAAACACCAGCACGAAAGGAAGGGACCAAACAUGCAAAUAACCCUUCACCGUAAAGACACGCGGGUCCUAAGGGUUAGGAAUCGGAUGGGGUCGGGCCUUGUCCAAACGAUGUCAUUUUUAAACCAUAAAAAUUGGUUUAAACGAAGUCGUUUUUGUUACCAUAAAAAGGCUAAAUCAUGCCUUUAUUCAGCCGAAACCCUAAAGUAACCCUAGACAUUUCCUUUUCAAUCGUUAAGCCGACCCUUAACACUCCUCUAAGAGUCAAUCCGCCACCAUGAACAGAGACCAGCCCGUCCAGGCCUCAGAGUUGCUUUUCAGCCUUUAAACCCCUUCUAUAUUUCGAUUUUGACGAAGAAGAAGAAGUUUCAUGGCGUAUUUACAAGGUAAAAUUUCAUUUCCCCUUUUCUAUCCAUUCAAAUGCAAAGAAAAAAAGAAAGAUCCAGAAAGAAAGAAACUGAGCAAAGAAGAAGAAGAAAUCCGGGAAAUUUUAAUCCGAAAUCACCUUUUUUUCUAUUCUUGAUUGCUUUUUUUUUCUAUCCUCUGUGUUCGUAAAAAAAGAAGGGCUUUACAAUUGGAAAUAAAAGGCUUUAUAGCCGAAUAAUCAAAAGAAAAAAUACAACAAUUUUUGUUAUCCUAUUGGCUAUUGCUCUGCUGCUGUUUUCUUAUUUUCUUUCGCAGGUACGGAGCGUGUGCUGGCACUAGGCGUGAGGGUGGCGUACGGCCUGUUGACGUGGAGGCACGAGCGGCGUUGGGCUGCACAGCCGCUGAAGGUUGCCGCGCAAGGGAAAGAAACCCUAGAGUUUCUGUUUCUAAAGUCUUUUGGGUCAUUUGGGCCUUGUAACUUUAGGUUGUUUUGUAAAUGGGCUUGUAACUGAGCUAUUGGGUCUGAUAUGUAAAGGACUAAUAAUUGGACUUUUUAUUAUUUGGUUUUUUUUAUAUUUAUAUUUUGUAUUUUGGUUCUUCUUUAGGCCCGGGCAAAAAUGGCCCAUUACAAGUACUUGGAAGUUGAUAUAAUUUGAUAAAAUGAUUUAUGGUUGAUAGAUGAUAUACUAGAAUUCUAUAAGUUGGGAUGGCUAA